UGGAUGAGGCAUGCAAGUCGAAUGGGUUUAGACCCAUGGCAGACGAGGUAGGAACAGGUAGGUACGUACCCCAAAGUCAGGGAUAACCCGGAGAAAUCCGGAAUAAUACUUGAUAGUCUCGAAAGAGUAAAGAUUUAUCGCUUUGGGAACGGCCUGCUUUCUAUCAGCUUGUUGGUAAGGUAACGGCUUACCAAGGCUACGACGGAUAGGGGAGGUGAGAGCCUGACCCCCACCGAUGGAACUGCGACACGGUCCAUACUCCUACGGGAGGCCGCAGUCGAGAAUCUUCCGCAAUGGACGAAAGUCUGACGGAGCGACGCCGCGUGAUGGAUGAAGUCCUUAGGGACGUAAACAUC
rnacentral:rRNA from 1 species